AUUGAACGCUGGCGGCAUGCUUUACACAUGCAAGUCGAACGGCAGCACGGGAGCUUGCUCCUGGUGGCGAGUGGCGAACGGGUGAGUAAUGCAUCGGAACGUACCCAAUAGUGGGGGAUAGCCCGGCGAAAGCCGGAUUAAUACCGCAUAUUUCCUGAGGGAGAAAGCGGGGGACCUUCGGGCCUCGCGCUACUGGAGCGGCUGAUGUCGGAUUAGCUAGUUGGUGAGGUAAAGGCUCACCAAGGCGACGAUCCGUAGCUGGUCUGAGAGGAUGAUCAGCCACACUGGGACUGAGACACGGCCCAGACUCCUACGGGAGGCAGCAGUGGGGAAUUUUGGACAAUGGGGGCAACCCUGAUCCAGCCAUGUCGCGUGAGUGAAGAAGGCCU
rnacentral:rRNA from 1 species